GCCGGGUGCGGUGGCACGCGCCUGUAAUCCAAGCUACCGGGAGGCUGAGGCUGGAGGAUCGUUUGAGCUCAGGAGCUCUGAGCUGCAGCGGACUAUGUCGAUCGGGUGUCCGCACUAAGUUCGGUAUCGAUAUGGUGCUCCUGGGGGAGCCCGGGACCACCAGGUCGUCUAAGGAGGGGUGCACCGGCCCAGGUCGGAAACGGAGCAGGUCAAAGCCCCCGUGCCGCUCAGUAGUAGGAUCGCGCCUGUGAAUAGACGCUGUAGUGCAGCCUGAGUAAUACAGCGGGACUCAGUCUUUU
ensembl:misc_RNA Metazoa_SRP Metazoan signal recognition particle RNA